rnacentral:rRNA from 1 species
UACGUAGGGUGCGAGCGUUAAUCGGAAUUACUGGGCGUAAAGCGUGCGCAGGCGGUUCGUUGUGUCGGUGGUGAAAGCCCCGGGCUUAACCUGGGAAUGGCCAUGGAAACUGGCGAACUGGAGUGUGGCAGAGGGGGGUGGAAUUCCGCGUGUAGCAGUGAAAUGCGUAGAGAUGCGGAGGAACACUGAUGGCGAAGGCAGCCCCCUGGGCUAGCACUGACGCUCAGGCACGAAAGCGUGGGGAGCAAACAGG